ACAUGUUCAGAGAGAUUCUGAAAGCCUGAGAAUGGUGCCCAUAUGGUGGUUGGGCUUGUGCCUUGCUGGGCUUUUCCUCCCUCAGACUUAUGGAGUUCCGGCAGAUUCUGAAACUGCCCUGGCAGAUAUAGUUGUACAGAAAUCCAUUGGGCUAGUGCAAAGAGACUUCCUCUAUGGUGACA